rnacentral:lncRNA from 1 species
GUUUCCACAAAUCCAGGCACAGUUUGAGUGUUUUUGUUGUCUUCCACCUCAACAAACAAAUGGGGUAACAACAAUUAGAAAUCCUUAGUCCAAGAGAGUGAGAAAUCAAAACCCUAAACUAUAUGCCCUUUUGGGUCUGAGAGAGAGAGGUGAGAGAGAGAGAGAGAGUACCUUCUUCAAUGUUUUUGAGCAGAUAGAAUCCUGGAAUAGAAAUUUUGUUAAGGUAGUAAGAGAAAAUAAAAUUUUGGGCGGUAAUGAGAUGAAAUAUUGGGGGGGAAAUUGGUUUGGCGCUUAAAUGAACACAAAGGACAAUAAUGGUGUAUCUAAA